rnacentral:tmRNA from 1 species
GGGGGCGACACGGUUUCGACAGGGUAGAAAAGAAUAGAGUGCAAGUGGUCAUACGAAACAGCAGACCCAAAACGCGGUUUCAAAAACUUAAUUGCCAAUAAUAACGACAAUUACGAAUACGCCCUAGCGGCUUAAUCGGGUGGUUGCCUAAGACCAUCUAUCCAAUUUAGGCUGAGCAGCUGAUCCUGCCAAGAAAUAAAAGAUCGCAAUGGUUACCCCGCUUGUAGCGGGUGGAUUUCUAAGGCUACAUAGGAAAUGGGAUUUUUGUAGAUACUUUGCUGGUUCGGGAAUGGAUCAGACAAACUUGUGAAUGACUUGACUUUGGACCUAUUUUGGACGCGGGUUCGACUCCCGCCGCCUCCACCA